rnacentral:rRNA from 1 species
GGUUUCUUGAUAUACUUAGGAAAUUUAACCUGCCCACUGAAAGUGUUUAAAGGGCCGCAGUAUUUUGACUGUGCGAAGGUAGCAUAAUCAUUAGUCUUUUAAUUAAAGGCUAGUAUGAAUGGUUGGAUGAGGUGAAUUCUGUUUUAUAAUAAAUGAAGUUGAAUUUUGAUUUUAAGUAAAAAGACUUAAAUGUAAUUAAGGGACGAGAAGACCCUAUAGAGUUUAAUAAAUUUAAUAAUUUAGUUUGGUUAUUAUUAAAUUUAUACUUAUUAUUAAGUUUAUUUAAUUGGGGAGAUUAGAAAAUAAAAUGAACUUUUCUUUGAAAUUAAUAUAUUUAUUAGUUAAAUGAUCCAUAAUUAAUGAUUAAAAGAUUAAAUUACCUUAGGGAUAACAGCAUAAUUUUUUUUAAGAGAUCUUAUCGAAAAAGAAUAUUAUGACCUCGAUGUUGGAUUAAGAUUAAUUUUAAAUGUAGAUGUUUAAUAAUUAGGUCUGUUCGACCUUUAAAAUCUUACA